rnacentral:lncRNA from 10 species
CCUCCUUCCUUUGUUAUCCUCUGCCUUUGCCUCUUUUGAAAAGUUCUAAGUUGCUAGCCGAUCAGGACAAAUACAGAAUGUGAGGUCCCCUUCCAGACAACAGACACCGGACACAGCAGUAGCGUGGACGCCACUGGGGAAGAAGCAUUUCUAACAGGAGCCUGCAUGCUGAGGAUGGCAGAGGAAAAAGACAGAGCCAUACUGAGCCCUUGGAGAUGCCACUGAGGAGCUACGCUAACCAAUCCUGGAGGCACCAUAACCUAGGACUUCUUCUUAUACAAGGAUGCUAGAGAGCAGUCUUCAGCCUGAGACCCAUCUCUAGAGUCUUAAUACCUUUAUUUUAUGCUAUUGACAGCUUCUAACAACUCAGUAUACUCCUAUGAACAAAAUUUGGAGCAUAUUUGUUUCUCUCUACCUGAUUUCUUCAGACUGUGGAAACUAUUUGAAUCAAACUUGACUUAUGGAUCCAAUAAAGCCCUUGGAAAAACUGGCCUCAUAUUUUGUGUAAACAGUCCCCGUACAGGGUUUCUGACUUGUGUUUUCCUAAUUUGGAAUCACUGAAAACUAAGUUUUGCUUUCUUAAAACCCUGUGAACUGAAGCCAGACAACUUAAACUUCAGAAGAAAAUAACAGCAACCUAUUUGCAUACAUAAGCCACUUGCAUACCUGCCUACUAAUGUAUGGACUUCAGAGUAAUGUGGCUGAUAUACAUUUUUCCAGGAUUGUUCUUUUGUUUAUUGUUGUUUUUCUCCCUUCUUCCCCCAAUUUUCUCUUCAUAGGACAUGAGACUUCACAGCCUGCUAAAAAUAAGCUUUUGGGACCUACCCAUUUAGGAAUAAACAGUCCUAGCCUUGAGAGAUCAGAUGAAAUCUGAGGCCAGAGACUCAUUUUCUUCUAAAAUGCUUUCUCCAAAAGAUUUUUAAAUAGAAAAGAGGGGAAAUGUGAAAGGAAAAUGUCUUCAGCCCCUUCAAGCUGGGAACUCUCAGUACAAAUCUGUCUCUCAUUCUAUUCAAAGUCAUUUCUCUGCUCAGAGAUAGAUGCAUAUUCUGAUUGCCUUCUUUGGAAAGACUUACCAGAAACUCAAAAGAAUGCAACCAUCUGUCUCUCACCUACCUGUGACCUGGAAGCCCAUAGGGUAAAGGGGGCUUGCUUUGAGUUGUCUCUACUUUUCUGAAUGGAAUGAAUGUACUUCUUACAUUUAUUGAUUGAUGUCUCAUGUUUCCCUAAAAUGUAUAAAACCAAUCUGUGCCCCGGCCACCCUGGGCAUGUGUUGUCAGGACUUCCUAAGGCUAUGUCACAGGUGCAUCCUCAACUUUGGCAAAUAAACUUUCUAAAUUAACUGAGACCUCUCUCAGAUUUUCUGGGUUCACUAUUCCUACUUGGAAAAUUGUCGAUAU